GUGUUAUUCAAGAAAACAUGAAUGCUGUCCGUCCGCUUGUCCCCACACCUGCAUGCUACAUAUGUAUGGCUUUGAGGAAUGUAAAAGCUAGCACAUAUUGCAGGUAAUCAAGUGUAAAGAGUCCAUCUAAAAAUGAAUCUCUAUCAUUUGGUAUGAUAAAUCCCCAUCAUUUACUCAUUCAUUCCACCAGAAAUCAACCAUACGGUUUAUGCGUCCCUAUGAUACAUGCAUUCAUGAU
rnacentral:misc_RNA from 1 species